rnacentral:rRNA from 1 species
AUUGAACGCUGGCGGCAGGCCUAACACAUGCAAGUCGAGCGGCAGCGGGAAAGUAGCUUGCUACUUUUGCCGGCGAGCGGCGGACGGGUGAGUAAUGCCUGGGAAAUUGCCCAGUCGAGGGGGAUAACAGUUGGAAACGACUGCUAAUACCGCAUACGCCCUACGGGGGAAAGCAGGGGACCUUCGGGCCUUGCGCGAUUGGAUAUGCCCAGGUGGGAUUAGCUAGUUGGUGAGGUAAUGGCUCACCAAGGCGACGAUCCCUAGCUGGUCUGAGAGGAUGAUCAGCCACACUGGAACUGAGACACGGUCCAGACUCCUACGGGAGGCAGCAGUGGGGAAUAUUGCACAAUGGGGGAAACCCUGAUGCAGCCAUGCCGCGUGUGUGAAGAAGGCCUUCGGGUUGUAAAGCACUUUCAGCGAGGAGGAAAGGUUGAUGCCUAAUACGUAUCAACUGUGACGUUAUUCGCAGAAGAAGCACCGGCUAACUCCGUGCCAGCAGCCGCCGUAA